AUUGAACGCUGGCGGCAGGCCUAACACAUGCAAGUCGAACGAGUGGCAGACGGGUGAGUUAUGUCUGGGAAACUGCCUGUUGGAGGGGGAUAACUACUGGAAACGGUAGCUAAUACCGCAUACCAUCGGAUGUGCACAGAUGGGAUUAGCUAGUAGGUGGGGUAAAGGGUCACCCAGGCGACGAUCCCUAGCUGGUCUGAGGGGAUGACCAGCCACCCUGGAAAUGAGACACGGGCCAAACUCCUACGGGAGGCAGAAGUGGGGAAUAUUGCACAAGGGGAGCAAGCCUGCUGCCGCCAUCCGGCGUGUAUGAAGAAGGCCACCGGGUUGUAAAGUACUUUCAGCUGGGAGGCGUUACCCGCAGAAUAAGCACCGGCUAACUCCGUGCCAGCAGCCGCGGUAAUUC
rnacentral:rRNA from 1 species